CUCAUUGGACUGAAGUAGCCAUUCUCAUGUAUAUUAAUUAUCAAAUACGGACGAGCAUACACUGAUUAUGUAAAUUUAGAAUCGGAUUACAAACAAAUCCUUCAAAUUAAGCGUCACAGACAGACUAAAUUUGACAGUUGGCCACAUGCGGCAGGCUCUUCUCUCUACCAGCCUUCGUCUCUUUCUGUUUCCCAAGAGCUCCGUCAGUAUGAAGAGGCCCGAGGACGCCAUCUCAUCUUCUCUCAGCCGGUGUCAAGCAGCAAUCCUGUGGGGCCCGUCCCUGCUUAAUUCAGCUUAGAGGCCCUCUCUCGUCCCCGACAUUCCUGAUCGCCUCAUUUUUCCCGGUAUGCCUCUCAGGGCUGAGGUGGGGAACCCGCCUGAGGAGGAUUUCGUGAGGAUUCCACGUUGGACACCAGGAUCAGCAGCCAGAAAGGAUCUUCCCCUAUUGGAGUAUGCGGUUGAUGUUUAGCCAGCUUGCCUUUCUAACGGCAUUCGACAACUCUGCUCUGAACUCACUGUUCUGGAUCGGGGCUAACUACCAUCACCCCGUCGACCUCCGUCGACCUCACUCUGGAGAGUGCACUGCCCCGAUCCAGAGCAUAGCCAGACCCAGAGUCCAGCCCACCAUCUCCCCGCUGUGUGGAGCCCAAGCCCGAGCCCACCGAUGAUGGAGAGCCUGAGCCCGCCACGACCGAUCUGCCAUUGCCAUGCGGAGUGACAGAGCUGAGGAUUGCCG
ensembl:lncRNA